AUGGAGGCCCCUGGCCCUCCUGCUAUCCCACCGUGGGACUGCUUGCUAUGUCUAUACCCUUGGAAGACUGUGGCGCCCAGAGUAGCGUUCCUGCCCAGCGGGCUGAGAUGUCGCGAAGGCCUCUGGCUUCCCUGCUCCCUCCCAGGUCCAGAAAGUCUUUUCUACUCUACUGCUCACCCUCCAGAGCUCUGCUUGACUGCCGUCUUCUUCCAGGAUCUUCCACGGCCUCUUCCUCCUCUGACACCUUCUAGCUUCUCUGGAAAACCCGCGCUUGGCAACCUUCCAUUUGGUGUUAUCUGAUGGGUGAGACAGAGCUUCAAGAAGGGCUAACUAUCCAUGAGACACCAUACGUGCUGCCCAUGAUACAUUCAGGGGCCCACAGAAAUGUCACUCUUUCUUUUAAAAUCAAGAUGAAAAAACAAACCAAAAAAAUGAAUAUAUAACAAUGAAUCCAAACCGAUUAUAUUCAUCUUGAUACCUAUGCAGUGGUCUUUUAAAAUAAUUUUUGAUGGAGCUUC
rnacentral:lncRNA from 1 species